CAGUCGCCGCGGUAAUACGGAGGGUGCAAGCGUUAUCCGGAUUUAUUGGGUUUAAAGGGUCCGUAGGCGGAUCUGUAAGUCAGUGGUGAAAUCUCACAGCUUAACUGUGAAACUGCCAUUGAUACUGCAGGUCUUGAGUAAAUUUGAAGUGGCUGGAAUAAGUAGUGUAGCGGUGAAAUGCAUAGAUAUUACUUAGAACACCAAUUGCGAAGGCAGGUCACUAAGAUUUAACUGACGCUGAUGGACGAAAGCGUGGGGAGCGAACAGGAUUAGAUACCCCUGUAGUCCCUGUCUCUUAUAC
rnacentral:rRNA from 1 species